rnacentral:rRNA from 1 species
CGGGACGGGUGAGUAACGCGUGGGUAACCUGCCUCAUACAGGGGGAUAACAGUUAGAAAUGACUGCUAAUACCGCAUAAGCGCACGAGAUCGCAUGAUAAAGUGUGAAAAACUCCGGUGGUAUGAGAUGGACCCGCGUCUGAUUAGCUGGUUGGUGGGGUAACGGCCCACCAAGGCGACGAUCAGUAGCCGACCUGAGAGGGUGACCGGCCACAUUGGGACUGAGACACGGCCCAAACUCCUACGGAAGGCAGCAG